rnacentral:rRNA from 1 species
AGCGAACGCUGGCGGCAGGCUUAACACAUGCAAGUCGAACGCUCCUAGCAAUAGGGGAGUGGCAGACGGGUGAGUAACGCGUGGGAACAUACCCUUUGGUUCGGAAUAACUCGGCGAAAGCCGUGCUAAUACCGGAUAAGCCCCUCACGGGGGAAAGAUUUAUCGCCGAAGGAUUGGCACGCGUCCGAUUAGCUAGUUGGUGAGGUAAUGGCUCACCAAGGCGACGAUCGGUAGCUGGUCUGAGAGGAUGAUCAGCCACACUGGGACUGAGACACGGCCCAGACUCCUACGGGAGGCAGCAGUGGGGAAUAUUGGACAAUGGGCGCAAGCCUGAUCCAGCCAUGCCGCGUGAGUGAUGAAGGCCUUAGGGUUGUAAAGCUCUUUCGACGGGGACGAUAAUGACGGUACCCGUAGAAGAAGCCCCGGCUAACUUCGUGCCAGCCGCCGCGGUAAUAC